rnacentral:lncRNA from 1 species
UUUCAGUAGAGACAGGAUUUCACCAUGUUGGCCAGGCUGGCCACAAACUCCUGACCUCCAGUGAUUCACCAGCCUUAGCCUCCCAAACUGUUGGGAUUACAGGCAUGAGCCACUGCACCCGGCCUUGUUUAUUUUUACUUCUUUGGGCUAUUUUUGAGGUAUUGGCAGACCAAAACUCUGUAUUGGUCCAUUUUCACACUGCUAUAAAGAACUACCUGAGACUGGGUAAUUUAUAAAGAAAAGAGGUUGAAUUGACUCACAGUUCCACAGGCUGUACAGGAGGGAUGGUUGGGGAAGUUUCAGGAAACAUAUAAUCACGGCAGAAGGUGAAGGAGAAGCAAGUAUGUCUUCACAUGGCUGCAGGAGAGAGAGGGAGAGCAAAGUGGGAGGUGCUACACGCUUUCAAACAACCAGAUCUCAUGAGAACUCUAUCAUGAGACAGGACAUGGGGGAUGGUGAUAAACCGUUAGAAACCACCCUCAUGAUCCGAUCACCUCCACCACCAGGCCCCACCUCUGACACCGGAAAUUAUAAUUCAACACAAGAUUUGGGUGGGGACACAGAGCCAAACCAUAUCAAACUCUGUGAGAAAAUUUCAAACUGCCAUCUUAGGUGGGACAAACCCUGUGGUGUCGUCAUGUUCUGGGACUCGGCUGAAGGGACUCGGCCCCAUGGGACUCGGCUGAAGAAACCAGUCUCCAGCUAAGACGACAGCCUUUCCCUCACAUCCUUCCCUUGUCCUAUCUUCCCUCCCACACCCGUUUCUCUCCAGCAUACCUUGUUCAUAAAUGAAGUGCUGCA